rnacentral:rRNA from 1 species
CCUACGGGAGGCAGCAGUGGGGAAUAUUGCACAAUGGGGGAAACCCUGAUGCAGCAACGCCGCGUGAGUGAAGAAGUAUUUCGGGAUGUAAAGCUCUAUCAGCAGGGAAGAAGAUGACGGUACCUGAUUAAGAAGCCCCGGCUAACUACGUGCCAGCAGCCGCGGUGAUACGUAGGGGGCAAGCGUUAUCCGGAUUUACUGGGUGUAAAGGGGGCGCAGACGGCAGUGCAAGUCUGGAGUGAAAGCCCGGGGACCAACCCCGGAACUGCUCUGGAAACUGUGCGGCUAGAGUACUGGAGGGGCAGGCGGAAUUCCUAGUGUAGCGGUGAAAUGCGUAGAUAUUAGGAGGAACACCAGUGGCGAAGGCGGACUGCUGGACAGUAACUGACGUUGAGGCUCGAAAGCGUGGGGAGCAAACAGGAUUAGAUACCCGAGUAGUC